GGAGACCAGUUCCUGGUGCCUGCCCAUGAGGCCCGCGGAACCCAGAGUGAAGACCAGCGCCCAGCAGGCGCAGCUUCGGAGUCGGAGCUCCAGGAGGAAGGACCCAAGCUGGGGGAGGAGCGGCCCAAGCCGCAUGCCGGGGCGCUAGAGGAGAGAGGCCCCAGGCCCGUGGUCUCCAUUGUGAGGCCCCGUCAUGGUCCAAAGAGAAAGCCUGUCAAGUCUCUCAGCCUCCCGGGCCUUCGUGCCCAUCUUAAGGCUGAAGCUGAGCUGCCACCCAAGCUGCCGCUGCAGGAGGAGGAGCCAGAGGACAGCCAGAGUGAGCCCUCACCAUCUGCCAAACAGCACAAAAAAGCCAAGAAGCGCAAGAGCCUGGGGGCUCCCGUGCUCCACGCUGUGGCCAGCAUGGUGUCUGCACCCUUAGAGACAUUGAGGCUGGAGCGUGAGUGGCAGUCCCUGGACUGUUCCUUCUCCCCCUGCCUGUGGGGCCCGACAUGGCACAACCUGGCGCUCUAGCCUCUGCCCUGCCCUGGGUCUUUG
rnacentral:lncRNA from 1 species